rnacentral:piRNA from 1 species
GCCCAGUUGGUCAAGGUCCUAGCUACUAGA